CCUACGGGAGGCAGCAGUGGGGAAUAUUGCGCAAUGGGCGAAAGCCUGCCGCAGCGACGCCGCGUGAGGGAUGAAGGUCUUCUGAUCGUAAACCUCUGUCAGCAGGGAAGAACGGUCACUGUGCUAAUCAGCAGUGAAUUGACGGUACCUGCAAAGGAAGCACCGGCUAACUCCGUGCCAGCGGCCGCGGUAAUACGGAGGGUGCGAUCGUGAAUCGGCAUUACUGGGCGUAAAGCGCUCGUAGGCGGUAUGUCAAGUGAAGGGUGAAAUCCCCGCGCUCAACGUGGGAACUGCCUUUGAAAAUGGCAAACUGGAGUGUGUGAGAGGAUAGUGGAAUGCCAGGUGUAGGAGUGAAAUCCGUAGAUAUCUGGAGGAACAGCAAUGGCGAAGGCGACUAUCUGGCACAUAACUGACGCUGAGGAGCGAAAGCGUGGGUAGCAAACAGGAUUAGAUACCCCUGUAGUC
rnacentral:rRNA from 1 species